UACGGAGGAUGCGAGCGUUAUCCGGAUUUAUUGGGUUUAAAGGGUGCGUAGGCGGACUGUCAAGUCAGCGGUAAAAUUGAGAGGCUCAACCUCUUCCCGCCGUUGAAACUGGUGGUCUUGAGUGGAUGAGAAGUACGCGGAAUUCGUGGUGUAGCGGUGAAAUGCAUAGAUAUCACGCAGAACUCCGAUUGCGAAGGCAGCGUACCGGCAUCCAACUGACGCUGAGGCACGAAAGCGUGGGGAUCAAACAGG
rnacentral:rRNA from 1 species